AAUGCCUCCAUGUUACCUCAGGUCCUACUGCCUCAUCAAUGCCUCCAUGUUACCUCAGGUCCUACUGCCUCAUCAAUGCCUCCAUGUUACCUCAGGUCCUACUGCCUCAUCAAUGCAUGUUACCUCAGGUCCUACUGCCUCAUCAACACCUCCAUAUUACUGUAGGUCCUACUGCCUCAUCAAUGCCUCCAUGUUACCUCAGGUCCUACUGCCUCAUCAAUGUCUCCAUGUUACUGCAGGUCCUACUGCCUCAUCAAUGCCUCCAUGUUACCUCAGGUCCUACUGCCUCAUCAAUGCCUCCAUGUUACUGCAGGUCCUACUGCCUCAUCAAUGCCUCCAUGUUACCUCAGGUCCUACUGCCUCAUCAAUGCCUCCAUGUUACUGUAGGUCCUACUGCCUCAUCAAUGCCUCCAUGUUACUGCAGGUCCUACUGCCUCAUCAAUGCCUCCAUGUUACCUCAGGUCCUACUGCCUCAUCAAUGCC